rnacentral:rRNA from 1 species
ACUACGGGUGGCAGCAGUGAGGAAUAUUGGUCAAUGGGCGGGAGCCUGAACCAGCCAAGUCGCGUGAGGGAAGACGGUCCUAUGGAUUGUAAACCUCUUUAGGCGGGGAGCAAUGCCGGGCACGUGUGCCCGGAGGGAGAGUACCCGCAGAAUAAGCAUCGGCUAACCCCGGGCCAGCACCCGCGGUAAACGGGGGGUUGGGAGGGUUAUCCGGUUUGAUUGGGUUUAAGGGGGGCGAAGGGGGUGUUUUAAGUAAGUGGUAAAGUGUGCGGGUGAAACCCGGGACGGCAGUUGAAACUGGGGAUCUUGAGUGGGCGAGAGGUAUGCGGAAUGCGUGGUGUAGCGGUGAAAUGCAUAGAUAUCACGAAGAACUCCGAUUGCGAAGGCAGCAUACCGGCGCCCGACUGACGCUGAGGCACGAAAGCGUGGGGAUCGAACAGGAUUAGAUACCCCGGUAGUC